AACCUCCGCAAUGUGAGAAAUCGCGACGGGGGGAUCCCAAGUGCCAUUCUUAACGGGAUGGCUUUUCAUUAGUGUAAAGAGCUUUUGGAAUAAGAGCUGGGCAAGACCGGUGCCAGCCGCCGCGGUAACACCGGCAGCUCUAGUGGUAGCAAUUUUUAUUGGGCCUAAAGCGUCCGUAGCCGGUUUAAUAAGUCUCUGGUGAAAUCCUGUAGCUUAACUGUGGGAAUUGCUGGAGAUACUAUUAGACUUGAGACCGGGAGAGGUUAGAGGUACUCCCAGGGUAGAGGUGAAAUUCUGUAAUCCUGGGAGGACCGCCUGUUGCGAAGGCGUCUAACUGGAACGGUUCUGACGGUGAGGGACGAAAGUUAGGGGCGCGAACCGGAUUAGAUACCCGGGCAGUCCUAACUGUAAACGAUGCGGACUUGGUGUUGGGGUGGCUUUGAGCUGCUCCAGUGCCGAAGGGAAGCUGUUAAGUCCGCCGCCUGGGAAGUACGGUCGCAAGACUGAAACUUAAAGGAAAU
rnacentral:rRNA from 1 species